rnacentral:rRNA from 1 species
UGCCAGCCGCCGCGGUAAUACGGAGGGUGCAAGCGUUAAUCGGAAUUACUGGGCGUAAAGCGCGCGUAGGCGGUUUAGUGAGUCGGAUGUGAAAGCCCCGGGCUCAACCUGGGAACUGCAUUCGAUACCGGCAAACUAGAGUAUAGAAGAGGCAAGUGGAAUUCCGGGUGUAGCGGUGAAAUGCGUAGAUAUCCGGAGGAACAUCAGUGGCGAAGGCGACUUGCUGGUCUAAUACUGACGCUGAGGUGCGAAAGCGUGGGUAGCAAACAGGAUUAGAUA